rnacentral:rRNA from 1 species
UACGGAGGGUGCAAGCGUUAUCCGGAUUUACUGGGUUUAAAGGGUGCGUAGGUGGGCGAGAAAGUCAGUGGUGAAAUCUCCGGGCUUAACCCGGAAACUGCCAUUGAUACUAUUUGCCUUGAAUACUUUGGAGGUAAGCGGAAUAUGUCAUGUAGCGGUGAAAUGCUUAGAUAUGACAUAGAACACCAAUUGCGCAGGCAGCUUACUACACAGUAAUUGACACUGAGGCACGAAAGCGUGGGGAUCAAACAGG